rnacentral:rRNA from 1 species
UGUUGAUCCUGCCAGUAGUCAUAUGCUUGUCUCAAGAUUAAGCCAUGCAUGUCUCAGUACAAGCCAAAUUAAGGUGAAACCGCGAAAGGCUCAUUAUAUCAGUUAUGGUUCCUUAGAUCGUACCCACAUUUACUUGGAUAACUGUGGUAAUUCUAGAGCUAAUACAUGCAAACAGAGUUCCGACCAGAAAUGGAAGGAAUGCUUUUAUUAGAUCAAAACCAAUCGGUGUCAAUCAUAUAUAUUUUGGUAUUUUUAUAUUGAAUUUUAUGUGCGCAUCGUAAUAACUUGGUGACUCUGAAUAACUUUUGCUGAUCGCAUGGUCUUCAGUACCGGCGACGCAUCUUUCAAAUGUCUGCCUUAUCAACUGUCGAUGGUAGGUUAUGCGCCUACCAUGGUUGUAACGGGUAACGGGGAAUCAGGGUUCGAUUCCGGAGAGGGAGCCUGAGAAACGGCUACCACAUCCAAGGAAGGCAGCAGGCGCGCAAAUUACCCACUCCCGGCACGGGGAGGUAGUGACGAAAAAUAACGAUACGGGACUCAUCCGAGGCCCCGUAAUCGGAAUGAGUACACUUUAAAUCCUUUAACGAGGAUCCAUUGGAGGGCAAGUCUGGUGCCAGCAGCCGCGGUAAUUCCAGCUCCAAUAGCGUAUAUUAAAGUUGUUGCGGUUAAAAAGCUCGUAGUCGAAUUUGUGUCCUACACUGUUGGUUCACCGCUCGCGGUGUCUAACUGGCAUGUUGUGGGACGUCCUGCCGGUGGCGAGGUAUAAAUUAUAUAGUGUAUUCUGGUUGGCAAAAAAUAUAUUUGGCAUGUGGCGGUGUUAUGCUUUUCACAAAGUUGUAGCACUUAGCCUAUCCAAACUGUACGUAUGUCAAUUCGGUUGCACAUAAAAUAUAAUUUAUCGUAAGUGUCUCGUUGCAGCUGCAUACUCACCGCAAAAGAUUAUACACACACACACGUGGCACAUGUAUUAUUUUUUUGAUGCGUAUAUGUUGUUCGCGUCGUUGUGGCAUACAUCAUGUGGCUGAAAUAUACAUGUCUGUGGCGAGGCGGCCUCCCAAUUUGAAUCCUAUCGCGGUGCUCUUAAUUGAGUGUCGAGAUGGGCCGGUACGUUUACUUUGAACAAAUUAGAGUGCUUAAAGCAGGCUUUAAAAUUCAAAAUAUUGCCUGAAUAUUGUGUGCAUGGAAUAAUGGAAUAGGACCUCGGUUCUAUUUUGUUGGUUUUCGGAAGUUUUUCCGAGGUAAUGAUUAAUACGGACAGAUGGGGGCAUUCGUAUUACGACGUUAGAGGUGAAAUUCUUGGAUCGUCGUAAGACGAACAGAAGCGAAAGCAUUUGCCAAAAAUGUUUUGAUUGAUCAAGAACGAAAGUUAGAGGUUCGAAGGCGAUCAGAUACCGCCCUAGUUCUAACCAUAAACGAUGCCAACUAGCGAUCCGCCAAAGUUCCUAUAUAGACUUGGCGGGCAGCUUCCGGGAAACCAAAGUUUUUGGGUUCCGGGGGAAGUAUGGUUGCAAAGCUGAAACUUAAAGGAAUUGACGGAAGGGCACCACCAGGAGUGGAGCCUGCGGCUUAAUUUGACUCAACACGGGAAACCUCACCAGGCCCAGACACCGGAAGGAUUGACAGAUUGAGAGCUCUUUCUUGAUUCGGUGGGUGGUGGUGCAUGGCCGUUCUUAGUUGGUGGAGCGAUUUGUCUGGUUAAUUCCGAUAACGAACGAGACUCUAGCCUACUAAAUAGACGUACUUACCGGCAUCUCAAGGCCCAUCGGCUGAUUUUGUUAUUGAAAUAUUUUUUGUAUAUACAGUAUGUUAAAAAUGUAGUCACAUGACGAUGUGCGUUCAUUUUCUGCGAUCAUGUCAUGCCGCUCUCCUCGCGGGGAGCGCGUUUGAUAUUGUGAACGGGAGUGUUCCCAUUCGAUUUGGCUACAAUAAUAAAACAUACGUACCAAUAAUAUGAUGUACAUGCAGUUUUUUGAUGUGGUUUUUACUGCCGGCGUACAAAUAAUUCUUCUUAGAGGGACAGGCGGCUUCUAGCCGCACGAGAUUGAGCAAUAACAGGUCUGUGAUGCCCUUAGAUGUUCUGGGCCGCACGCGCGCUACACUGAAGGAAUCAGCGUGUCCUCCCUGGUCGAAAGAUCCGGGUAACCCGUUGAACCUCCUUCGUGCUUGGGAUUGGGGCUUGCAAUUGUUCCCCAUGAACGAGGAAUUCCCAGUAAGCGCGAGUCAUAAGCUCGCGUUGAUUACGUCCCUGCCCUUUGUACACACCGCCCGUCGCUACUACCGAUUGAAUGAUUUAGUGAGGUCUUCAGACUGGUACGCGGCAACGUUUCCAAAGACAUUGCCGAUGUUGCUGGGAAGAUGACCAAACUUGAUCAUUUAGAGGAAGUAAAAGUCGUAACAAGGUUUCCG